UACGUAGGGUGCAAGCGUUGUCCGGAAUUAUUGGGCGUAAAGAGCUCGUAGGCGGUCUGUCGCGUCUGCUGUGAAAACUCAGGGCUUAACCCUGAGCUUGCAGUGGGUACGGGCAGACUAGAGUGCGGUAGGGGAGACUGGAAUUCCUGGUGUAGCGGUGAAAUGCGCAGAUAUCAGGAGGAACACCGGUGGCGAAGGCGGGUCUCUGGACAGCUCCUGACGCUGAGGCGCGAAGGCUAGGGGAGCAAACGGG
rnacentral:rRNA from 1 species